GAUGAACGCUGGCGGCGUGCCUAAUACAUGCAAGUCGAGCGAACAGACGAGGAGCUUGCUCCUCUGACGUUAGCGGCGGACGGGUGAGUAACACGUGGAUAACCUACCUAUAAGACUGGGAUAACUUCGGGAAACCGGAGCUAAUACCGGAUAAUAUAUUGAACCGCAUGGUUCAAUAGUGAAAGACGGUUUUGCUGUCACUUAUAGAUGGAUCCGCGCCGCAUUAGCUAGUUGGUAAGGUAACGGCUUACCAAGGCGACGAUGCGUAGCCGACCUGAGAGGGUGAUCGGCCACACUGGAACUGGGACACGGUCCAGAGUCCUACGGGAGGCAGCAGUAGGGAAUCUUCCGCAAUGGGCGAAAGCCUGACGGAGCAACGCCGCGUGAGUGAUGAAGGUCUUCGGAUCGUAAAACUCUGUUAUUAGGGAAGAACAAAUGUGUAAGUAACUAUGCACAUCUUGACGGUACCUAAUCAGAAAGCCACGGCUAACUACGUG
rnacentral:rRNA from 1 species